rnacentral:lncRNA from 1 species
GAUUCCUCCGGGAUCCGAAGCGGCGCCGUGGUUGCUGCCGGACUCCGAAGCUGCUCACCUCCCUCUCUCUGAAUCUGAGCCGAUUCCUCCGGGAUCCGAAGCGGCGCCGUGGUUGCUGCCGGACUCCGAAAAGGCAAAACGCAUCUCCGACCUCAGAGAGACUUUCAGACGCGAAAGGGAGGAAGCCAAGAGAAUCUCCGACCUCAGAGAGACUUUCAGACGCGAAAGGGAGGCGGCUAAAGCUAAGCAAAACAGGUGAUUGUGUUCUGAUCUUUGUGGGGGCUGGCUGGUGAUGCCUUUCUAGGUGUAUGUACGUUCUUCGUGUGUUCUGUGUGGUGGGGGAUGGCUGGUGAUGCCUAUCUAUGUGUGUUCGUUCUUUGUGUGGCUGUGUGGUGGGGGAUGGCUGGUGAUGCCUUAGUUGCAUAUGAUCUCUGUAUGCUGCCCUAUGAUGUGUGUUUUUGGCCAAUGUUGAGGGUUUGUGUAUGCCCUAUGAUGACUUGUGUAGUCUGAGGGUACCAAUUGUGCUUGUGUAUGCUGCCCUAUGAUGUGUGUUUUGGCCAAUGUUGAGGGUUUGUGUAUGCCCUAUGAUGACUUGUGUAGUCUGAGGGUUUGUGCAUGCUGCCAAUUGUGUUUGUGUGUGCUGCCAAUUGUGCUUGUGUAUGCUGCCAAUUGUGCUUGUGUAUGCCCUAUGAUGACUUGUGUAGUCUGAGGGUUUGUGCAUGCUGCCAAUUGUGUUUGUGUGUGCUGCCAAUUGUGCUUGUGUAUGCUGCCAAUUGUGUAGUGAAUGCUGCCAAUUAUGUAGUGAAAUGAUUGUUCAACCUGUGCAUUGUUCAUGAUUGUUCAUAGUGUUCAUGGUAACAAAAGACAUAUACAUUGACCAACAAAAAAUAGAUUUACAUCUCAAACACAUCAAAAUGAUUGUUCAUUGUGUUUGUAGCUGUAAACCCUGACCUACAUCUGUUCUAUUCUACUCAUUAAUCCCUACCUGCUGCAUCCCUUCUAUGACAUCUCCAAGGUUCUGAAUUUCACAUUCCAACUGUAGGAAGUCUAGGCUUUCCCUCACCAGCCCUUCUUCAACCUGAAUACAAUCUGGUAGCAUGCCUUGUCUUGUGAGUCUGUCUUUGUUCAUGUGGGGAAUCUUGUAGUUAUUCCCACCCUUUGCCUUGAUUAUUUCGUGGUAACAGCCUUGCAAAGUCAGAAAUACAUUGUUUAGCUUCUCAGGUGGAUAUUCAUCAUAGGCAUCUUUCACAUUCUUAAGCAACUCCUCCACAUCCCUUGCUGGUUUCUGAUCUUUCAAUGUCUGUAUAGCCCUGAAAAAACCAAGAUCAUUCACAUUCGUAUCCGGUGAAUUAGCAGGCUGGCACACAAGUUGGAAUUUAAAUCCAUCAGUGUUUGCAACCGCUAAAAAGUCCGGAUCAUCAGGUUUUAUGUGGGGUUUGGCAUUGUCUUGUUGGAUGAUGAUGUUCUUGUUUGCUGUCUGUGGCCACUUAGCUUUAAAGUAGGGGACCAUCUGCCAAAGGGCAAAAGCUAAAUGAUGAUGACUGUGUUACAGCAUCUGAUAGCAUAAUCUAAUAAAAAAACAAUCAUAAAGGUUACCUCUUGAAUGAGGGAAGCUUUUAUGACUUCCUUAGUAAUGGCUGCAAUAGGCUUGACUUCCAUGGUUCCUUUCAAUCUGUUUUUUGAAUUUCUCUUGGCUGGUUCUGUUGUUGUGAAGGGAUAGAUGCCCAACUUUCCAUCAAAUAAAACUGUGCCAUCUAUGUCAAUAAUAGGACGUGCUACAGCACACAUGAACAUAAUCUUGUCAAUGAACCUCUUUGAUUUGCAUGUUCUAUACGGUUCCUCUUCAUCCGGCAUGAGAUAAUACCUAUCUUUGGUUUUAGUAAGGUAAAACCAUUUUUCAUCAAUAUGAAUGGUGUUGUACAUGGUUUGGAAGUUUAUAAAACCUCCAUCACUUACUGAACUUAACUGAUUUAGGCUCCAUCUAAGUCUUGACAGCCUAUUAAGUGGGGUAAGAAAUGGUUUGAUAGCACUAGUGUGUGGUUUCAAUUUUUUUUGCUUUACCCACUUGUGAAUCAUAGACUUAGACACUCCUAGGUUUGUAGACAUGACUCUCAUUGAUGAUCUUUGAAGCACCGACAGAUUCUUCACUUUUUCAACAUCAAUACUCAUCUUAUUCUUGUAUGUGCUUCCUUUUCUUAUGGAUUUUACCUGGACAGGUACACCACAAGCUCGCUGAUGUGAAACUUGGCUCCAAAUUCUCCACACUGUCUUCAAAUCCACUUUGAAGAGAAGGGCUGCCUCCUUUUUUGCACCAUAGUGAAGCUUACCUCCAAUGCUAUGCUCAAGAAGCCAUUGGGCUAAUUUAUUUCUUUCAUUGUCUUCAAUUUUUUUCCUUUCAAUGGCCAUUUUGUAUGUUUAGUUGGAGUAGUUGGUGAGAAUUUAAUUCUCUGCAGAGAGCAUGUAUUUAUAGUUGUGUUAGUGGUUCUUUAAAGUUUGCUUUUCCCUCCUAAUUUUUGGAGGGAUAAAUGUACUGUACAACCUCUUUUUUUAUCAAUAAAAGUGCGAUUUUGC